CGCAAGAUUAAAACUCAAAUGAAUUGACGGGGGCCCGCACAAGCGGUGGAGCAUGUGGUUUAAUUCGAUGCAACGCGAAGAACCUUACCUACUCUUGACAUCUACAGAAUCCUGCGGAGACGCGGGAGUGCCUUCGGGAACUGUAAGACAGGUGCUGCAUGGCUGUCGUCAGCUCGUGUUGUGAAAUGUUGGGUUAAGUCCCGCAACGAGCGCAACCCUUAUCCUUGUUUGCCAGCGAGUAAUGUCGGGAACUCCAGGGAGACUGCCGGUGAUAAACCGGAGGAAGGUGGGGACGACGUCAAGUCAUCAUGGCCCUUACGAGUAGGGCUACACACGUGCUACAAUGGCGCAUACAGAGGGCAGCGAACUUGCGAGAGUAAGCGAAUCCCAAAAAGUGCGUCGUAGUCCGGAUUGGAGUCUGCAACUCGACUCCAUGAAGUCGGAAUCGCUAGUAAUCGUGAAUCAGAAUGUCACGGUGAAUACGUUCCCGGGCCUUGUACACACCGCCCGUCACACCAUGGGAGUGGGCUGCAAAAGAAGCAGGUAGUUUAACCUUCGGGAGGACGCUUG
rnacentral:rRNA from 1 species